AUGCUUGUCACCCAACAUGAAUUGGAUGUCAUUGGUUUUGAGCAUAUCAUAGACUUGUAUGAGCAUGAUGCAACUUUUGCCAUUCCUUAUAACAAGUGUUUGUCGCAUGCAUCUUGGGAACGUUAUUACCUAAAAGAUGGAUAUCUUAUGAGAGCUAACAAACUUUGCAUUCCCGAGUCCUCUCUUCGUUUGUUGCUUUUGCAGGAAUCCCAUGGAGGAGGCUUAAUGGGACACUUCAGACAUGACAAGACACUCGCUACGCUCUCCAAGAACUAUUUUUGGCCAAAGAUGGUUCGCGAUGUCAAUCAUUUCACCAACCAGUGUUCAACAUGUCACAAAGCUAAGUCCAAAGCUCAAUCUCAUCAUCUCUAUAUGCCUUUACCAAUUCCAUACCAACCUUGGGAAGACAUUAGCAUGGACUUUGCACUUGGUUUGCCUAGAACUCGAAAUGAGAAAGACUCCAUAUUUGUCGUUGUGGACCGUUUCUCCAAAAUGGCACAUUUUAUUCCUUGCAACACGAUAGACGAUGCUUCACAUGUUGCAAAUUUGUUUUGUAGGGAAAUAUUACGUCUUCAUGGAAUGCCAAGGACAAUUGUCUCGGACCGCGACGUCAAGUUCUUGAGUUACUUUUGGAAGACCUUAUGCGCCAAGCUCGGAAUCAAGUUACUCUUCUCCACGGCAUACCACCCUCAAACCAACGGCCAAACGGAGGUGACGAACCGUACACUCUCCACUCUACUACGAGUCUUGAUCAAGAAGAACAUCAAGGAGUGGGAGGAGUGCCUACCAAUCACCGAGUUCACCUACAACCGUGCAACACAUUCGACUACCGGCAAGUCCCCUUUCGAAGUCGUCUAUGGAUUCAACCCAUUGUCCCCAUUGGACAUUCUUCCUCUACCACUACAAGAGCGCAUCAACAUGGACGCGAGCGACCGAGUGAACCACAUCAAGAAGAUGCAUGAAGAUACAAGGCACACCAUAGAGCGCAAGUACAACGACUCGUGA
rnacentral:rRNA from 1 species